rnacentral:rRNA from 1 species
AGUGGCGGACGGGUGAGUAACACGUAAGAAUUUGCCUUUAGGAGGGGGACAACAACUAGAAAUGGUUGCUAAUACCCCAUAUGCUUUCGAGUGAAAUGGAUUUUUCCGCCUAGAGAGAAGCUUGCGGCUGAUUAGCUUGUUGGUGAGGUAAUGGCUCACCAAGGCGACGAUCAGUAUCUGGUUUGAGAGGACGAUCAGACACACUGGAACUGAGACACGGUCCAGACUCCUACGGGAGGCAGCAGUGGGGAAUUUUCCGCAAUGGGCGAAAGCCUGACGGAGCAAUACCGCGUGAGGGAUGACGGCCUAUGGGUUGUAAACCUCUUUUUUCAGGGAGGAAUCAAUGACGUGUACCUGAAGAAUAAGCAUCGGCUAACUCCGUGCCAGCAGCCGCGGUAAGACGGGGGAUGCAAGUGUUAUCCGGAAUCACUGGGCGUAAAGCGUCUGUAGGUGGUCCAAUAAGUCAACUGUUAAAUCUUGAGGCUCAACCUCAAAAUCGCAGUCGAAACUAUUAGACUAGAGUAUAGUAGGGGUAAAGGGAAUUUCCAGUGGAGCGGUGAAAUGCGUAGAUAUUGGAAAGAACACCGAUGGCGAAGGCACUUUACUGGGCUAUUACUGACACUCAGAGACGAAAGCUAGGGUAGCAAAUGGGAUUAGAUACCCCAGUAGUCCUAGCCGUAAACAAUGGAUACUAGAUGUU